rnacentral:misc_RNA from 1 species
GAUGAAGAACGUAGCGAAAUGCGAUACGUAAUGUGAAUUGCAGAAUUCAGUGAAUCAUCGAAUCUUUGAACGCAUAUUGCGCUCUCUGGUAUUCCGGAGAGCAUGCUUGUUUGAGUAUCAGUAAACACCUCAACUCCCUUUUCUUUUUUGAAAUUGGAGCUGGACUUGAGUGAUCCCAACGCUUUCUUCCAAGAAAGUGGCGGGUUGCUUGAAAUGCAGGUGCAGCUGAACUUUUCUCUGAGCUAUAAGCAUAUCUAUUUAGUCUGCCUAAAAAACAUAUUAUUACCUUUGCUGCAGCUAACAUAAAGGAGACUAGUUCUUGUGCUGACUGAUGCAGGAUUCACAGAGACAGCUUCGGCUGACUUUGUAAACUCGAUCUCAGAUCAAGUAAGACUACCCGCUGAACUUAAGCAUAUCAAUAAGCGGAGGA